GCCUUUUUAGUUUAAUGGCAGAACUACUAUUUUGUAAAUAGUAAAUUUUGGUUCGAUUCCAAAAAGAGGCU
rnacentral:tRNA from 1 species